rnacentral:rRNA from 1 species
AACCAAUAAUAGCUCAAAACCUAAACCACAAAAAUAUACCAAAAAUUAAAAUAAAACAUUUAUAACAACU